AAUGGAAAGUUUACCCCCAAUUCAUUAUCAAACAAAAAUAAUGGUCAUAAAUUCCAUAGUUUGUUCAUAUCCCUUUUAUAAAUUGGACGUAUUGUAUGAUACAGUGACAUAUCUUAUUAGAAAUAGAGAAGAACCACAUGCGACGAGAGACCUUUCACCAUGACCCCUUUUAGUUUAAUUAUAGUUAAUAAGGUUCAAUAUUGCAAUAUCUGUGUGAUCAGUGCGCUGCUAAAAUAAAUAACCAGUUUAUUGAUUGCCUUUUUAAUAGCCAGACGGCCAUGGAUAUGGGAUAUUGCUUCCUGGCGCUUAUCAAACACUCGCAAUAAUUAGGCACAGGGUAUUUUCAAGAUUGUUAUAGUUUGCCGAAGUUCAUAAAAGAUUGAUAUAGGCCUAAAACAUAUCUUUUUGCUUUUUUUAUACAGGCGAUAAAGGUGAUGAGGUAUCUACACAGAUUUGCACCAACAGAAUCUGCUAACACACUGCUGUAUGUCUUUGUACAUGAGGUCCUGAUAUGUUUCAUGAUGAAACAGGAAACGCUGAACCGACUGCAGGCGGAGCUGGUUCUGUCGGAUGGCCUCCAGUUACGAGACGCAGACACACCAGCUCAUGUGCUGGACCAUUCAUAUACCUAGCAUGGGUAGGGUGUGAUGUAGAGGUAACAUACCAAAUUGCCGCAGUAUGUAUGAAAUUCAACUCUGGGUCACAGGAUACUUUGGUCACAAAUAUAGUAUAAUUUCACACAUCAUGAGAAUUAAUUUCGAAGUGAUUAGAAUUGAAUCUCUGAAUCUAAUCAUAUAACAAAAUUUGUCAUUCGAGAAAUUGUAAUGAUAUGGUAUUUUCUUCUGCCAAUGAAUUGCCAGCAUUUUUGCAGCGAUUUUCUGCCGAAUCCUGUAAUUGUAUAAAGAUUACUUAUUUUGUUACGCCGAAACUUGUACAAAUAACUUGCCAAAGUGAACGUCAAUCAGAUUUAUGAGCACAAAUAUGACCAGAAAAUUAGUGUCUUUGCAGCAAUUUAUACCGAAUCCGGUAACUGUAGGAAGAUUUCUGAUUUCGUCACGUCGAAACUUGUAAUUUGUAAGUUUUUUUUUACGAUUUUUUCAGCCAAGUACAAAUAACUGGCCAAAGUGAACGUCAAUCAGAUUUAUUAGCACAAAUAUGACCAGAAAAUUAGUGUGUUUGCAGCGAGAUAUACCGAGUCCGGUGAAUGUAAGAAGAUUUCUAAUUUCGUCACGCCAAAACUUUUGCAGCGAUUUAUACCGAAUCAUGUAAUUGUAUAUUAUGAAGAUUACUAAUUUCGUCACGCCGAAACUUGUAAUUUUUAAGUUUUUUUACGAUUUCUUGAGCCAAGUACAAAUAACUCGCCAAAGUGAACGUCAAUCAGAUUUAUUAGCACAAAUAUGACCAGAAAAUUAGUGUGUUUGCAGCGAUUUGUACCGAAUCCUGUUAUUGUAGGAAGAUUUCUAAUUUCGUCACGCCGAAACUUGUAAUUUGUAAGUUUUUUAACGAUUUCUUCAGCCAAGUACAAAUAACUUGCCAAAGUGAACGUCAAUCAGAUUUAUAAGCACAAAUAUGACCAGAAAAUUAGUGUGUUUGCAGCGAUUUGUACCGAAUCCUGUUAUUGUAGGAAGAUUUCUAAUUUCGUCACGCCGAAACUUGUAAUUUUUAAGUUUUUUACGAUUUCUUGAGCUAAGUACAAAUAACUUGCCAAAGUGAACGUCAAUCAGAUUUAUAAGCACAAAUAUGACCAGAAAAUUAGUGUGUUUGCAGCGAUUUGUACCGAAUCCUGUUAUUGUAGGAAGAUUUCUAAUUUCGUCACGCCGAAACUUGUAAUUUGUAAGUUUUUUAACGAUUUCUUCAGCCAAGUACAAAUAACUUGCCAAAGUGAACGUCAAUCAGAUUUAUUAGCACAAAUAUGACCAGAAAAUUAGUGUGUUUGCAGCGAUUUAUACCGAAUCCUGUAAUUGUAGGAAGAUUUCUAAUUUCGUCACGCCGAAACUUGUAAUUUUUAAGUUUUUUAACGAUUUCUUCAGCCAAGUACAAAUAACUUGCCAAAGUGAACGUCAAUCAGAUUUAUAAGCACAAAUAUGACCAGAAAAUUAGUGUGUUUGCAGCGAUUUGUACCGAAUCCUGUUAUUGUAGGAAGAUUUCUAAUUUCGUCACGCCGAAACUUGUAAUUUGUAAGUUUUUUAACGAUUUCUUCAGCCAAGUACAAAUAACUUGCCAAAGUGAACGUCAAUCAGAUUCAUAAGCACAAAUAUGACCAGAAAAUUAGUGUGUUUGCAGCGAUUUAUACCGAAUCCUGUAAUUGUAGGAAGAUUUCUAAUUUCGUCACGCCGAAACUUGUAAUUUUUAAGUUUUUUACGAUUUCUUGAGCUAAGUACAAAUAUCUUGCCAAAGUGAACGUCAAUCAGAUUUAUGAGCACAAAUAUGACCAGAAAAUUAGUGUGUUUGCAGCGAUUUGUACCGAAUCCUGUUAUUGUAGGAAGAUUUCUAAUUUCGUCACGCCGAAACUUGUAAUUUGUAAGUUUUUUAACGAUUUCUUCAGCCAAGUACGAAUAACUUGCCAAAGUGAACGCCAAUCAGAUUUAUUGAUACAUAUAUGACCAGAAAAAAAUAGUAUCUUGCAGCGAUUUGUACCGAAUCCUGUAAUUUUAGGAAGAUUUCUAAUUUCGUCACGCCGAAACUUGUAAUUUGUAACUUUUUUAAAGAUUUCUUCAGCCAAGUACAAAUAACUUGCCAAAGUGAAUGCCAAUUGGAUUGACAAGCAGCCAUUUUCCCCCCGAAUCCUGUGAAUGUAUGAAGAUUACUAAUUUCGUCACGUCGAAACUUGUAAUUUACAUAUUUAUUAAAGAAUUCUUAAUUUUAGAAUUGUUUGAAUAUCAAAUUGGAUGUAUGAACAUAUUUCUGAUAGGACAAUUAUUUUUUUGAAUGAAUUGAAACCGAAUCCUGGAAUUUUAUUAAUUUAGUAUUUCUAAGUUAGUUACAGCCAAGUGAAUGUCAGUUGCACUCAUAAGCACUCAUAAGUAACUGAAUCAAUUUGAAGCGAUUUAAACCAAAUCCUGGAAUUGUAUUAAGAUUACUAAUUUCGUCACGUCCAAACUUGUAACUUACAAUUUUGUUAUACUAUGUUUGCCUUUAACCAAGUCCAAAUAACCUGCCAAAGUGAAUAUCAAUAAGAUUUAUAAGCACAUAUAGGGGGCCCAUGACCAGAAAAUGAUUCGUGAAGCGAUUUAAAUCAAAUCCAGGACAAUGUCGUCAUGCCGAAACUUA
rnacentral:lncRNA from 1 species